UUUGAAUUUUGUAAAGCUCAUUGCCAUAAAAUUCACAGCCCCUUACCCUGUAUUGUCUCACAAGUGCAUGUAAUCAAGCACGUACAAUGAGACAAAAUAUUGGAAGCUAUUUAAUUACAAAUAGCAUAGGGAUUUUCUGAUCUUAUAUGUGAUUUCUUAAUGUCUUUGUUUUUGUGUCUCACAUAGGUGAUGUACAGUUCAUUGAUUAUGAAUAUUCUGGAUACAACUACCUGGCAUAUGAUAUUGGAAAUCAUUUCAAUGAAUUUGCAGGUGUGAGUGAUGUAGACUAUAGUCUGUAUCCAGAUAGAGAACUACAGAGUCAGUGGCUGCGUGCUUACCUUGAAGCCUACAAAGAAUUUAAGGGCUUUGGGACUGAAGUUACUGAAAAGGAGGUAGAAAUACUCUUCAUUCAAGUCAAUCAGUUUGCAUUGGCUUCUCAUUUCUUUUGGGGAUUGUGGGCUUUGAUUCAAGCCAAAUACUCCACUAUUGAGUUUGAUUUC
rnacentral:lncRNA from 1 species